GGGUUGUGAGGUUAAGCGACUAAGCGUACACGGUGGAUGCCCUGGCAGUCAGAGGCGAUGAAGGACGUGCUAAUCUGCGAUAAGCGUCGGUAAGGUGAUAUGAACCGUUAUAACCGGCGAUUUCCGAAUGGGGAAACCCAGUGUGUUUCGACACACUAUCAUUAACUGAAUCCAUAGGUUAAUGAGGCGAACCGGGGGAACUGAAACAUCUAAGUACCCCGAGGAAAAGAAAUCAACCGAGAUUCCCCCAGUAGCGGCGAGCGAACGGGGAGCAGCCCAGAGCCUGAAUCAGUGUGUGUGUUAGUGGAAGCGUCUGGAAAGGCGCGCGAUACAGGGUGACAGCCCCGUACACAAAAAUGCACAUGCUGUGAGCUCGAUGAGUAGGGCGGGACACGUGGUAUCCUGUCUGAAUAUGGGGGGACCAUCCUCCAAGGCUAAAUACUCCUGACUGACCGAUAGUGAACCAGUACCGUGAGGGAAAGGCGAAAAGAACCCCGGCGAGGGGAGUGAAAAAGAACCUGAAACCGUGUACGUACAAGCAGUGGGAGCACGCUUAGGCGUGUGACUGCGUACCUUUUGUAUAAUGGGUCAGCGACUUAUAUUCUGUAGCAAGGUUAACCGAAUAGGGGAGCCGAAGGGAAACCGAGUCUUAACUGGGCGUUAAGUUGCAGGGUAUAGACCCGAAACCCGGUGAUCUAGCCAUGGGCAGGUUGAAGGUUGGGUAACACUAACUGGAGGACCGAACCGACUAAUGUUGAAAAAUUAGCGGAUGACUUGUGGCUGGGGGUGAAAGGCCAAUCAAACCGGGAGAUAGCUGGUUCUCCCCGAAAGCUAUUUAGGUAGCGCCUCGUGAAUUCAUCUCCGGGGGUAGAGCACUGUUUCGGCAAGGGGGUCAUCCCGACUUACCAACCCGAUGCAAACUGCGAAUACCGGAGAAUGUUAUCACGGGAGACACACGGCGGGUGCUAACGUCCGUCGUGAAGAGGGAAACAACCCAGACCGCCAGCUAAGGUCCCAAAGUCAUGGUUAAGUGGGAAACGAUGUGGGAAGGCCCAGACAGCCAGGAUGUUGGCUUAGAAGCAGCCAUCAUUUAAAGAAAGCGUAAUAGCUCACUGGUCGAGUCGGCCUGCGCGGAAGAUGUAACGGGGCUAAACCAUGCACCGAAGCUGCGGCAGCGACGCUUAUGCGUUGUUGGGUAGGGGAGCGUUCUGUAAGCCUGCGAAGGUGUGCUGUGAGGCAUGCUGGAGGUAUCAGAAGUGCGAAUGCUGACAUAAGUAACGAUAAAGCGGGUGAAAAGCCCGCUCGCCGGAAGACCAAGGGUUCCUGUCCAACGUUAAUCGGGGCAGGGUGAGUCGACCCCUAAGGCGAGGCCGAAAGGCGUAGUCGAUGGGAAACAGGUUAAUAUUCCUGUACUUGGUGUUACUGCGAAGGGGGGACGGAGAAGGCUAUGUUGGCCGGGCGACGGUUGUCCCGGUUUAAGCGUGUAGGCUGGUUUUCCAGGCAAAUCCGGAAAAUCAAGGCUGAGGCGUGAUGACGAGGCACUACGGUGCUGAAGCAACAAAUGCCCUGCUUCCAGGAAAAGCCUCUAAGCAUCAGGUAACAUCAAAUCGUACCCCAAACCGACACAGGUGGUCAGGUAGAGAAUACCAAGGCGCUUGAGAGAACUCGGGUGAAGGAACUAGGCAAAAUGGUGCCGUAACUUCGGGAGAAGGCACGCUGAUAUGUAGGUGAGGUCCCUCGCGGAUGGAGCUGAAAUCAGUCGAAGAUACCAGCUGGCUGCAACUGUUUAUUAAAAACACAGCACUGUGCAAACACGAAAGUGGACGUAUACGGUGUGACGCCUGCCCGGUGCCGGAAGGUUAAUUGAUGGGGUUAGCGCAAGCGAAGCUCUUGAUCGAAGCCCCGGUAAACGGCGGCCGUAACUAUAACGGUCCUAAGGUAGCGAAAUUCCUUGUCGGGUAAGUUCCGACCUGCACGAAUGGCGUAAUGAUGGCCAGGCUGUCUCCACCCGAGACUCAGUGAAAUUGAACUCGCUGUGAAGAUGCAGUGUACCCGCGGCAAGACGGAAAGACCCCGUGAACCUUUACUAUAGCUUGACACUGAACAUUGAGCCUUGAUGUGUAGGAUAGGUGGGAGGCUUUGAAGUGUGGACGCCAGUCUGCAUGGAGCCGACCUUGAAAUACCACCCUUUAAUGUUUGAUGUUCUAACGUUGACCCGUAAUCCGGGUUGCGGACAGUGUCUGGUGGGUAGUUUGACUGGGGCGGUCUCCUCCUAAAGAGUAACGGAGGAGCACGAAGGUUGGCUAAUCCUGGUCGGACAUCAGGAGGUUAGUGCAAUGGCAUAAGCCAGCUUGACUGCGAGCGUGACGGCGCGAGCAGGUGCGAAAGCAGGUCAUAGUGAUCCGGUGGUUCUGAAUGGAAGGGCCAUCGCUCAACGGAUAAAAGGUACUCCGGGGAUAACAGGCUGAUACCGCCCAAGAGUUCAUAUCGACGGCGGUGUUUGGCACCUCGAUGUCGGCUCAUCACAUCCUGGGGCUGAAGUAGGUCCCAAGGGUAUGGCUGUUCGCCAUUUAAAGUGGUACGCGAGCUGGGUUUAGAACGUCGUGAGACAGUUCGGUCCCUAUCUGCCGUGGGCGCUGGAGAACUGAGGGGGGCUGCUCCUAGUACGAGAGGACCGGAGUGGACGCAUCACUGGUGUUCGGGUUGUCAUGCCAAUGGCACUGCCCGGUAGCUAAAUGCGGAAGAGAUAAGUGCUGAAAGCAUCUAAGCACGAAACUUGCCCCGAGAUGAGUUCUCCCUGACUCCUUGAGAGUCCUGAAGGAACGUUGAAGACGACGACGUUGAUAGGCCGGGUGUGUAAGCGCAGCGAUGCGUUGAGCUAACCGGUACUAAUGAACCGUGAGGCUUAACCUUACAACGCCGAAG
rnacentral:rRNA from 2 species